UAAUUGAGAAUCAAAUUUAAUCAAAUAAAUAAAGAUCGAUUAGAUUCUACCAAAAGCAAAUACUCUUUGCAUGUAAAUUAGUUAUUAAAACAGAAAAUAGUUCAAUGCUGAAAGGGUAUAGUCGAGUGUACUGUGCCGACUAUAAAUUACCCGAUACUCAUAGUAGAAGAAUAUUACUUUUGGAUUGUGAGACUGGAACAGUACAGGACUAGUUUUAUAUCUAUUAUGACGGUUGAUGAUAGUUUUGUGUUGAUAAUUAUUCGAGGAAAACGAAGAGAAAAAUCGGACAACAAAAAAUACAUUGAGUACCGGAUAUUUAUGUGGGUCAAAAUAAUAAUAUCUGUGGCUACUGCAAAUGAUGUACUUAUUGUAUAUAAUAUAUCUUUGUAAAUUGAUACAUAUUGAGAUUACUGAUGGUGGCAAUCAUUUAAUGUUACGAUUUUACGAUUACUUUUACUGUUACUUUAAGGAUUACGGUUACGUGGUACGAAGUACGAAACGAAGAGAGUACAUACAUACGUUAUACAAAGUACAUUUUACAAAGUCUAAUAUGACGGUGGUUUCUAAUUCAACUAUCAGCUAAUUGAGUACCAUAUACAUAGAUAUAUAUUAGAGAUAAACUUAAUGCUAAACAUUAACAUUACAGUACGUUGUAUAGACACUUCUUUUCGAUUUUAUUUUUGGUUUUUGGUUUUUGUUAGGUGCAUUGUACAGCAAAAAUAAUUGCGUGCAAACUACUAAUCGGUACGAUCAAAUAUUACAAGGAAUUGUGUGUUCACUGCUCAUUCAGUUGGCUAAUGCUUUGAAUUUGAAAAUAAAAUUCCAAGAUUUUAUUUGUAAAGAUUUCUUUCACAUUUCAUUUAUUCAUUUCAAUUCAAUUCAAUUCAAUUCAAUUCGAAGAGGGUUUUGUAAGCCAAGAAGUUUCGUCAAUUGAAAAAUUAUACAGAGGUUCACAUUAUACAUAUAAAUAUUUUGGGUUUCUUCUUGUAUCAGCAAUUGGUUUCGUUUUGAUUUUUCUUGGGUUUCUUGGGUGUUGCUCGGGUUUCAAAGGUUAAGGCUAAAAAGAGAGUAAAUACCGUUUACAUGUCCUUUGUAUAUAUAGAAAGAAUUAAUAUGUGUCUGUUAAUAUGAGUGUCUAAACAUCGCUACAAGUAUAGAGCGAGAAAUAGAGCGACAGCAGUUACAGUUACAGUUACAGUUACAGUUACAAGUUACAAGUUACGAGUUACAGUUACAGUUACAGGGUGUUGUAUAUAGUAUAUAAUAUAUAUUUCUCAUUACAGGCUAAACAAAGGAUAACCAUCCCAUAUACAUGUAUCCAUACAAUAGUAUAAAUGUACGUCUGCAAAGAUUACAUUCAAAUCUGUCUCUGCCAACCUACUGCCAGAUGGUGUAGCCCAAAACUAAACUCAAUUCAACGGGGGGGGGGGGGGGGGGGGG
rnacentral:lncRNA from 1 species